AAGGAGCUGUGGAGUGCCAGGAAGAGAGAAUGCCGGAAUGAGUAGCGAGAGAGAGGUGGGAAUCCUCUCGGCCGAAUAUCCAAGGUUUCCAGGGUAAAGCUGAUCUGCCCUGGGUAAGUCGGGGCCUAAGGAGAGGCAGAAAUGCGUAUCCGAUGGACAGCAGGUUGAGAUUCCUGCACUAUCUUAAAACAGAACUGUGGGGACAUUUGUGGAGAGCACAGGCGCGGAACGGAAAGCCGCGUGCAAGCGAAGGAGGAGUCACAUAGGAAAAACCGUGUGGCAAUCCAGAGGCGUGAUGCGGACCGAACUAAAGUAGGGAAGUGUGUGAGCCAUGAAUCAAGAAAAGCCGCUAUUGUUUUUAAGAUACCCGUACCGUAAACCGACACAGGUGGAU
rnacentral:rRNA from 1 species